GACGAACCGUGCGAACGUUAUUCGGAAUCACUGGGCUUAAAGCGCGUGUAGGCGGGACGGCACGUCGGUCGCUGAAAGCCCCCGGCUCAACCGGGGAAGGGGCGCCGAUACGACCGACCUGGAGGGACGUGGGGGGACCUGGAACUUCCGGUGGAGCGGUGAAAUGCGUUGAGAUCGGAAGGAACGCCCGUGGCGAAAGCGAGGUCCUGGACGUUUACUGACGCUGAGACGCGAAAGCCAGGGGAGCGAACGGG
rnacentral:rRNA from 1 species